GGUCAUGAGUGGAUAAAGUUUAAGAAGCCCUGUUCUAGAGCACUCAUACUCCAGUUUACUAUGAUAUUUUUCAUUUCUAUGGCAGGGAGAGGGGGAUUUAGACAUUAUCUAUUACAUGACCUUAGAGUCAACAUAAGUCGGAAAGGUACACAGCAACAAAGUCAGGGAAGAUAAAAAUCAGCAACAAAACCCUUGCUGGUAUGGUGGUUUAGAAAUAUUAAUUUGUUCAUUCUGAAUCAAGAAAAACUUAAAUCUCUGGUAGGCCUCACAUAUGUGACGAACUAGGCAACCUGCUCUCAAUAAGUGCUGUACUACAAGUCCCAUCGUCCUCCAGAAGACUAUGAUGGGAACUGUAAUUCAAUACAUCAGGAUAUUACUUGGUUUUAGAAGAAUGAUUUACAGCAUGUAGAGAUGUAUGGAUUACAGCUAGACAAUACUGUUCAUGUGAAGCAUGCUAAACAGUUAGAAGCACCGUGCAAAAAUAUUACCAUAAUUUCUGCUUUAUGCUGAAAUCCCCAAUGCUUUAUUGAUUCAGACCUUUGAGCCAUACAUAUUAUUUGGAUUAGGAUAAAUAUGUAUUCAUCUCACUUAUUUAUUUACUUUUGAUUUUUUUCACUGGAAAUCUUAGACCUUGUCUUGAACUUCAACCCCACUGACAUUAACAGAUAAAUUUCUCUAAGAUUCUUAUUUAUAGAAUAAAUUCUUUAUUUAUUUCAGAUAAAGACUACUGCAUCACAAUAGACACUAGACAAAAUUCCCCAAGUUUGUUUUUGCUAAUCUAGCCUUCCAAAGAAAUCUACACUUUUACUGCCAACUACUUUUCCCACGCUUAUCAAGGCAAGCUCCUAUGCAAGAAGCUCCUUUUCCAGUUUACAGAAUCUUUCCUGUCCAUUUAUACAGAGCUAUGUUCUACUCACAACAAGGUGAUUUCCUCUUCUCCAAAUGGACUCAGCAGCCUGGAAGGAUACAGCCUUUUCCUGGGAGGGCUUCCACUCCAGCCUUCAUUUGUUAUUUCCAGAAUUUGGAAAUAGCAAACUACAAUAAUGUAGCUUUCUUUAACAAGCAUUUUGGGGAUCAAGGGGCAGGAAUAACAAGAGCAACGAAGUCCCAAUCUAACAAGUGCCAAUUACUCUUAAAGAGUAUUAUAGAUACAUUUUAACAUAAUUUGCAUUUUCUACCUUUCUCUUCUUAAAGUUUUUUUAUUAAAAAUUUAUAUACAUGAAGUUAAAGCAAACCACAAAUAGAAAAAAAGUAAAAAGGAAAUUCCUAUUUCUGUUUUUCUCUCAUGGGUUCUAAGGUGUUUUUUUUAAGUAACAGAAAGCAAGUAAUUCAAAGAGAUACUUAGAGGAAAUAAAUUACUUUAGACUCAGCAAUUCCAGCAGUAGCAGGAACAAUAAUUUUCAAUGAUGUUCAAAGCUCUGCCAAAAGCAGUAAUGCCUGGAAGAGGAAACCUAUGAAGCCAGUAUAGUGAUUCUGAGCACCUUUCCCCCUUUAGCUCCAAAAAUCUUUACGGUUGGAUGACAGAGGCAACUUCAUUGUCUCAAGCACUACUCUAUUAUUGCUGCUGCUGUAUGCCUUCAAUACGUACUUACGUUGACUCUAAGGUGGGCAAACCCAUUAUGGGGUUUUCUUGCCAGGACUUGUUCAAAAAGGGGUUGACUCUGCCUUCCUCUGAAGCUGAGAGUGUGUGACUUACUCAAGAUAACCCAGUGGGUCUCCAUGGAUAAGCAAGGAUUUGAACUGUGGUCUACAGAACUGUACAAUAUUCAAGUGAUCAAAUAGCUACACCUUAUUGUUCAGACUAAAUAACUAAUAUAAACCAAAAAGCCAGUGGAGAGUGAGGAAGACCUGGGGUGCAUCUACACUGUAGCAUUAAUGCAGUUUUAUACCACUAUAACUGGCAUGACCCAAUAAUAUGGAAUCAUUGGGUUUGUAAUUUGAUGAGGCACCAGCAUUCUUUGAAAGAGAAAACUUAAGAUUUACAAAACUGCGGUUCCCAUGAUUCCAUAGCAUUGGGCCAAGACAGUUAAAGUGGUGUUAGAACUGUAUUAAUUCUACAGUGUGGAUGCAUCCUAGGUUCACAAGAUGGUAUCAUCCUCAUUGUUUAUUUCUCCCCAGUUUGGGAGUCAAGGUGGCAAUAGUUAAACAUAAACCAGACACUCACAAAAGUGAAAAAAAAACAAUUAAACUAAUAGAGGACAAUCUGCUUUGCGUCCUGAAAAUAUAGCUAUAUCAUGCAGUUAAUUCUGCUAUGAUUCUAAGCACCGCAACUACAAUAUACAGUAGCUACAGUUGACUUGCCUCCCAUUGUCAGACCCUUAACCUUUCUCUUUACAGCUCUCCUAAAGAUAUAUUGCUGUGCUGAUUUAUUUGGAGCAAAGACCAUGCAGGGUCAGCAGUUGUGAAAACAAUCCAAUGUAAAGAAUAAGGGUAUGACUGGUCCUGUUGACCUUACACUAAUGUAUGCCUCCCCUAACAUCAAGGUUUGCUCAAACUCUAUUUACUACAAACAAACAACAUUUUGAAUCACCUCCAAGCCACACCAAAGUUUUACAACUGUUUUGCAAUGUUUUGCAACAGCCACAAAACUGAGAUCCAGAUACUCCAAUGCAGGGUUCCAAGUAAAUGUUGACCAUGAAGCCUGACAUUUGGAAUCACCUCCAAACUUGUGCUAAAGUUUUGCAACAUGGUUGGGGAAGGUAAUGGGUAUUGCAGUCAAGAAAUUAGAAAAAGGCUAAAACUUGGAAGGGCAGUGAUGAAAGAGCUAGACAAGAUCCUGAAGUGUAAAGACAUACAAUUGAAUACUAAAGUUAGAAUUAUUAUCCAUGCCAUUUCCAUAUAAGGUUGUGAAAGCUGGACAGUGAAGAAAGCUGAUAGGAACAAAAUCAACAUGUGAAAUGAGAUGCUGGAGAAGUCUUCUACAGACGGGCUAUGAACUAGUUCUAGAGCAGUGGUUCUUAACUUGGGGUCCGCAGAUGUUUUGGCCUACAACUCCCAGAAAUCCCAGCCAGUUGUUAGGAUUUCUGGGAGUUGAAGGCCAAAAACAUCUGGGGACCCCAGGUUGAGAACCACUGUUCUAGAGCUAAUCACGCCUGAAUUAUCCUUAGAAGCUAGUAGGAGUAAUUGAGUCUGUUGUACUUUGGGCUUGACAUGAGAAGACAUGACUCACUAGAAAAGGCAAUAAUGCUUGGUAGGGCAGAAGGCAACCAGAAAAGAGUAAGACUGCAUUUGAGAUGAAUAGAUCAAGGGAAAGACAGUCCAGAAUCUGCUAGAUCUAGGUAGAGCUGUGCAUAAUAGGAUGACUUGGAGCUCUCUCAUUCAUGGGGUCACCAUAAGCCAAAGUCAACUUGAUGACAAUCAACAACAAAUCAACAAACUUUAUUUCUUAUUACAUAAAUCCUUUUUGAUGGCAUUUCACUUACAACUUAAGGCAUGUUGACUGAAGUCAGUGAAACAUCUAUCACCUAUAAGCUCUUUCAGCUAACCAGCACACUGUGGACAAGCUUUCCAUGUAAACAUCUUUCCACAUAAAGGAGGAUCCCUAGUAAGCAGGAACCAUCAAAGCAAUACUAUUCACUAACCCAAACAUUCUGGAGGAGUAUCAGACCACAAAAACAAAACGUCCAACUAGAACAAGAAACAACCUACAAUUCCUUUCCCAGAUCAUCAUGAUCUCAAUUCACUUUUUCUUGGCCAGAAUUUGGAAAAAUUACUUUCUCCAUUAUAGUUCUGAAAAUCCCUACUCAUAAUGCUGACUGGGAUAUUUUGGGAGUUUUAAGUAAAAAAAAAAGUAACCUUUUCACGCUCUAUAACUGGCUAGCUGUUACUUUUUUCUAUCUUCUGUAGCUAGACAAAAUUGUAGUAUUCUGGUUUAUGGUCUGCCUAAAAUCUCUCUUUUUAUUUUUUUUAAUUUCUUGCUGUCUGGAUGUUAGGUAUCUACACUUAUCAUAUAAUUAUAAGACUCUCAGUUUUUGUUUUGACUUCUGCUCUACAAUUAUACAUCGCAUUAAGCUUAACCCAUUCUGCGAAUCAAUGUACUUUUGCAACUUCAUAGGUCAAUACGUUCCACUCAAUAGACAUUAGUAGGGUUAAAGUGAAGUAACACAAUGGAUUGUGGCCAGAAACUGCAGUAACAUUUCAUCUUUCACAAUUAUUUUCAGGACAUCACUGGUCUCAUAACCAAUGUUAGAAAGAUUACAAAUUAAUAUCAAUUUCUUACCUUUAAGGGUAACAUUAAUGGUGGCAGGGGUGGGGGAGGCUUCUUCAGUUCUUCACAUUUUCUCUUUUUACAGAUCCGGUGGCUUGUUUUGCGCUUCAUGCAGCAGCUGCAUUCUUCACAGUUAGUUUUCCGCAGACAUGGCUCACAUACUCCACAUCGCCUUCGCUUUUUCUUUUCUACAGGUUGCAUAGAGGGAAACAGGACAGGAAAGGCACUAGUUGGAUUUCCCCAGGAGGUUAGUUCAGAAGUUGUACUGGGAUUCGUGCCGCAUUUUGUGGUGCCCUGAACAGAGAUCAUGUCUUUUUCAGCACUUCCCAGUCCUAGGGAGGGACACUGAAGGUUUGGACAGGAUCCGUCUGCCACAAGCCUAGUUUCUGGACUCCCUACAGACUCUGAUGGCAACUUCAAGUUAGCAUCUUUUGAGGAUUUUUGGGAAGUGUUGUUAAAGAUAUUGCUACUCACUGAAACGGAAUCAGUCGUCCUUUUUCCUGGCUGAAGUGAUAGAUCAGGCACAGUAGUUGAAUCUAAAUUCAAUGUUUCAGCAGCUAUCCUCUCAAGGGUCUGCUCAAGGUCUUCCAAGAUACCAUAAGUAAAAACGGGAUUAGAAACUGGUUUACAAGUGGAUGCUUUCUUAAUGUGAUCACAACCUGAAUAAUCCUUUUGGGAAGUUGACAAGUCAAGUGCUUUGUCACCUAGUUUGAAUUCUGAGUCAUUUGGCAAAGAGGAUUUCCCACCAAGGCCUGGAUCUUUUGGAGAAUCUCCCUGUUCAGAGAUACACAGCAAAUCAGGUUCUCUUCUACUGGCAGGCUCAUGAUCUUGCUCAUGGUGGGGCUCUGAUAAUGCACACGUGUCGUCUAAAUGCAAUUUUGAGAUUAAUUCUGAGGUAAUCAAAAUGAUAGCAUCGGGUUCACAAGGAGUUAGCACCGAACCACAGGUAGCAAUGGAGUGACCUUCUAUAGGAGACUCUGGCCUUUUCUCAGGCACCUUUGUGUUUGUUUCAGAAGAAAGUUGCAAUGUGGAGUCAAACGAUGGAGGGGAAUGUUCUUUGGAGGGUGGUGCGGAAUUAAAAUUAUUCUCUAGGCCUGGUUUCACGAGUGUUCCUAACUCUCUUUCACAUACCUUUAAAGCAUUGGCAGAGUCAAGGUGUAGAUGAGAAGAAACAGGCUCAGCCAAAGCUACAUAUGAGACAUCAGUAGAUAAAUCUUCCAGGGCCUGCUCAGUAGGCACAGUUUCUUUACAUUUGCCAUCCUCCUGCAGUGCCUUUGGAGUAGAGACACUCGGUUCAUCCACACUAGAAACAGAAAGACAGUUUUCAGGAGUUGGCGCUUUCUUCUUGGCUUCACCGUCACAUUCAGAGGGAUGGUCUGGUUCCAUAUCACAUAAGGCACUGCCUGCUUUGGUAGACAGCGAUUCAACAUUUUGGUUGCAAUCUUGUUUGAAACCCUGAGCUCUUUUUUCCACUCCUUUCCUUUCUAUUUUAUGGGAUGUUCCUAACUCAGACUUUUCUCUUUUCCCUGAACUUUUUACCAGGCCAGUUCGUCUCUUCGCUCUCAUGAUUGCCGCUGUUUCAAACAGUCUAUGGGGAAAUGGCUUCCUGCGAAGAUUCAUGGUAAGGCUCAACGGAGGCUGGUUAUGAAAGAGAACGCUAUCACUUAAUUUCAGAUUCUUCCAAGAUGAUCCAGCAAAGGCUUUGGUGACACUGCUGCGGAGAAAUCGGCACGGUGAAUCCAUAGGAGGUUUGUGUUCUUGUGGCUUUUUCUUGCCCUCGUUCUUUUCCGCCAGUAACCUUUUGCAGUUUGCAGAACAGUUUGCCACUGGGGAAUUUUUUUUGGCAUCUUUUGUUACUUGGCAAGAUUUACUUUGGGCUAGGCUUGGUUUCUUUUUGCUUAUCUCCUGUUUCUUUACUAAUCUUGAAGAUCUGGCAUCGCGAGCCAUCUCUGUCAAGCAGCAGAUGUGCAACUCAGAGUAGAAUCAAAGAUCAUGCAUUCCUGCAAGUGUUGUUUAUUUCAGCAGAAACCCGCAUAGUCACCUUGGUAUUCUCUGGAUUGUACAAAGCUGAAACAGAAAUAAAUAUAAAUAAAUAAAUAAAUAAAUAAGAGUUGAAAAUUA